GUUAUUGGUUAUUGGAAAAAUCUGUUUUGGUCAAUGGAUUCACAGAGUAAAAGCCAGGCAGGAAGAAGGCAAAGUCAGACAGAUGCCAUGUAGCUGCUGAAGGAGAAGACACUGGAACCAUACCAGUAUGUUACAGCCUUGUGUUGAUACACAGAUGAAUAGAAAUGGGUUCAUCUAAGAUGUGAGAAAUAGUUAAUAAGAAGCCUGAGCCAUUGACCAAACAGUGUUUUAAUUAAUAUAGCUUCUGUAUGAUUAUUGGGUCUGGACAGCUGGAAACAGGAACUGGGUAAGUAACUCAUUAGCCUUAGUGAGUUCCUCCUGCUUAGGUUGGAUUGCUGCAAAGGUAGCCAGGGGCAAGAGGAGAAACCAGUUUCUGUAACAAAUCAGGGAAAUUUAAUUUUUCUACAGAGGCUUUUGUUCCUAGUAAAUGCAGGCACAACUACAACUGUCUAAGCAAAACUAACGGUCUCCAUAUGAAAAAGGACAGCAAAAGUUAGAGAGAGCUGAAGCCUGUGAGCUCCCGAGGAUCAGUGCAGAAGUUUGCAGUAUCUUUUCCAUAGGUCCUCUGAAUAGAGCCUUGCCUUCUGGGGAGCUUCAUUUGCAAAACAUUUAUGCAUCCUUCCCAGCGGUGACAGCAUGGCUUCCACCAUAUCCUCUUGUUUUAUAUUUUAAAUGAAGUUCAUGUAUAUCAUAUUUAGAAAUGUGAAGUCUGUGGCUUAGGUGACUGAUGAAGACUGGGAAAAAUAAUAAAAAUAAAAUAAAUUUAUAGCAAUAGUCAAAUUAAUAAUAAGAAACCAGAAGUUCUUUCCAGAGACUUAAAUAGUCAGUGAAGAUUAUCGCCUGGGAGCAACUUGUUCUGGUGAUGACAUUUGUAAUGUGAGAAAUUAUAGUACUUUGUUUAUUUAGUGAAUUGAUAUUUAUAUUGAAAUUUGAAUUAUUUCAGAUUCCUUUUAUAUGAGCCUGAAUCUAUUUUCAAGAAACUUCUGAAUCAUUGUAAGGCUUUGUGGUGGAAGUCCAGCUGCAAGAGGAAGCAUCAGGAAAUGGUGUAACCAGGCCCAUCAGUUGAAAAUGUAAUUGGGCCCUAUCAACAGCAGGGGACCAAGCAAAGCUCAGUCCCCAGGAACGGUUUGAAAUUCUCUGCCUGUUGGCCACUGAUGCACAUAGCAGUUGUCAGAUGAUAGAUGGGUUUGGAUGCCACUGUCAUCAUAGUGCUGGGUUCCUGCUGCUUUAUGAAUUCCAGGCCCUGGUGUAGGAGCCUAGAACCAAGGCCAUACAGUUUCAUAAGUCCGUCCCUGAUUUACUCAGAAAAGUAUAACUCUUCCUUUGCUUUUUUCUGUCCCUUUUGCGAGCAUAAUUUUUUUGCGCUUUUGAGUUCCCUCAUCUUCUAAAGCUGCCCUUCCUGCCAUGCUGCUGCUUAUCCACCAUGUGACUGACCUCUAUGCAGCAUACUCUAAGGCAUGGAUUUUUCUCUCUCUGCUCCAAAAUUUACAGCUUCUCUGCCCUGAGGUUUUUGUUUAAAUACAAAUAAAAUUGUUCUUGAGCUUC